ACCGUGCAAAGGUAGCAUAAUCACUUGUCUAUUAAUUGUAGACUAGAAUGAAAGGACAAACGAAAAUAAAGCUGUCUCCUUUAAGCACUUAAAAUUUUAUAUCCGAGUGAAGAAGCUCAGAUAAAUCUGCAGGACAAGAAGACCCUAUAGAGCUUUACCUUAACCGCUUAUUACUAAAGCGCCACGGUUCGGUUGGGGCGACCGGGGGACAUUUAUCUCCCCCAUUUUUUGUGACUCACCAGUCUCUAAAACGAUCCUUAUUCAAGAUCAUUGGAUCAAGCUACCUUAGGGAUAACAGGCUAAUCCUCUUUUGAGAGCCCUUAUCGACAAGAGGG
rnacentral:rRNA from 1 species